CCUACGGGUGGCAGCAGUCGAGAAUCAUUCACAAUGGGGGAAACCCUGAUGGUGCGACGCCGCGUGGGGGAAUGAAGGUCUUCGGAUUGUAAACCCCUGUCAUGUGGGAGCAAAUUAAAAAGAUAGUACCACAAGAGGAAGAGACGGCUAACUCUGUGCCAGCAGCCGCGGUAAUACAGAGGUCUCAAGCGUUGUUCGGAAUCACUGGGCGUAAGGCGUGCGUAGGCUGUUUCGUAAGUCGUGUGUGAAAGGCGCGGGCUCAACCCGCGGACGGCACAUGAGACUGCGAGACUAGAGUAAUGGAGGGGGAACCGGAAUUCUCGGUGUAGCAGUGAAAUGCGUAGAUAUCGAGAGGAACACUCGUGGCGAAGGUGGGUUCCUGGACAUUAACUGACGCUGAGGCACGAAGGCCAGGGGAGCGAAAGGGAUUAGAUACCCCAGUAGUC
rnacentral:rRNA from 1 species